rnacentral:misc_RNA from 1 species
AAAUGCGAUAAGUAAUGUGAAUUGCAGAAUUCAGUGAAUCAUCGAAUCUUUGAACGCACCUUGCGCUCCUUGGUAUUCCUUGGAGCAUGCCUGUUUGAGUAUCAUGAAAUCUUCAAAGUAAAUCUUAUGUUAACUCAAUUGGUUUCUACUUUGGUAUUGGAGGUCUUUGCAGCUUCACACCUGCUCCUCUUUGUUCAUUAGCUGGAUCUCAGUGUUAUGCUUGGUUCCACUCGGCGUGAUAAGUUAUCUAUCGCUGAGGACACUGUAAAAGGUGGCCAAGGUAAAUGCAGAUGAACCGCUUCUAAUAGUCCAUUGACUUGGACAAUACUUUUAUGAUCUGAUCUCAAAUCAGGUAGGACUACCCGCUGAACUUAAGC